GGCAAUGUAUCAGGAACACAGAGGUUGGAUUCUGCUACAGUCAGGACUUACUCCUGCUAAAGUCUCCUGUUGUUUACCCACACUACUUCUACCGAUGAUUACGCAGCAUUUGAAUCCAACAAAGACUACAUUUUAGAAUCCAAUGGAAUCUUUAAUCUGUUAAUACUUGUUAUAUGGACCCUAAGAUAUUUUAUUACAGAGUUUUUAAUUAGUGAAAAAUUCAUGAAUACCAUAGAGAAAAUAUUUUAGAAUUUAAUGUUUCUUAUAUUUAUGUAAACUUAUGACUCUUCAUUUAUAUAGUUACUUACUUUUUCAUGUAUAUCCAGGCUAUAAAUAUCCUUUCAAAUCAUGUUCUUAUACCUAAUUUUAGUCUUUCAAAUGAAUGUACUGUAAUGCUUGUAUGUAUAAAUCCUAUGAACAAAUAGAGGGCUUUUGUAAAUUAUGCAUUUAUUGUAAUUAUCAUUAAUUUUUUAAUGAUAAACCAUGAAAAGGAUUUUACUACAUUUAUAAAAUUACGACAGAAGCAAUGUGCAUUAUCCUUUACAGAUGCAGCCUAGCUCUACAGCAAUCAUUCUGAAAUAAGCGUACCUAAUUUCAAGCAAUUGUAUUUUAAUGACUGACCUUAACUAUACUUUUUCUAGUAAGAAAUGCUUUAUUCUGCAGCAUGAACAGAUUUAAAAUAGCUGGUGUUAAAUAUCAGCUCCUAAUAAAAUGUGGACUGAAAAGACUAUCACAACAGUAUGAGAAGCCCCUAGCACUGGUUAACGCUUUCCUAGCCUAGUCUCUGGAUUUGGGGAGCUUGUCUUCAGUGGCUGACAGAGACCGUGAGCUGGGAGCAGUUCUCUCAGCUGGAGAGACUCGGGAUGGGGUAACCUGGGGACCAGCCCAGCCCCUGCGCCCUCUUCCCUGCCUCUGCUCCUUGGGAGCCGGUGGAGAGACACCCAUGUAGCUCCCCUUAGGGCCAGCCACCAAGCACCACGCGCUCAUUCUGCAAGUCGGCGCACACAGCGGAUGAAGGCAGGAGACCCAGAAAGCAGUGCAGUGCAGCUCUAAUAAAGGCCUUAUUUUUCUUAUGUAAAUCAUCUUUUUACAUUUGUUUGUAAACAUGUUUAAAGAAUGAACCUAGUGGGACAUUUUUAGACCUCGAUGUUAUAGCCAUUUUGGAUUGUGUAAGUUGCAGAUGUGGCUUUUACUUUUUCAAUGGCAUAUUAAAAAGCCAGCAAAGCGUGUCAGACCAUGGCGUGGUAUUUCCUGUGCAGCAGAUACAGAGGUGGAGGCAGCCUGUCUUUUCACAGUUGGUUUCUGCUUUUAAUUUACUUGUACAAUUCAUUGUUACUGUUCUGUUUUUCUAUUAAUCUUUUGUGAACUUCCUGAUUAUGUAACAAAGUAUGUACAGUCUACUUUUGAACUAUUUUUAUCACAGUAUUAUUUAUUGCUUUCUUUCAAUAAAGUACUGAAGCAUUUUCCACUGCCAAUGAA